GACGUAGGGUGCAAGCGUUGUCCGGAUUUAUUGGGCGUAAAGAGCUCGUAGGCGGCUCGUCGCGUCAGCUGUGAAAACCCACGGCUUAACUGUGGGCUUGCAGCUGAUACGGGCGGGCUGGAGUUCGGUAGGGGAGACUGGAAUUCCUGGUGUAGCGGUGAAAUGCGCAGAUAUCAGGAGGAACACCAGUGGCGAAGGCGACUACCUGGCCUGUUCUUGACGCUGAGGCGCGAAAGCUAGGGGAGCAAACGGG
rnacentral:rRNA from 1 species